AUCGAACGCUGGCGGCAGGCUUAACACAUGCAAGUCGAGCGAGCGGCGGACGGGCGAGUAAUGUCUGGGAAACUGACUGACGGAGGGGGAUAACUACUGGAACCGGUAGCUACUACCGCAUACCAUCAGAUGUGCCCAGACGGGAUUAGCUAGUAGGUGGGGUAAUGGCUCACCUAGGCGACGAUCCCGAGCUGGUCUGAGAGGCUGCACCGCCACAUGGGAACUGGGACACGGUCCAGACUCCGACGGGAGGCAGCAGUAGGGAAUAUUGGGCAAUGGGCGCAAGCCUGAUGCAGCCAUGCCGCGUGUGUGAAGAAGGCCUUCGGGUUGUAAAGCACUUUCAGCGGGGAGGCGUUACUCGCAGAGGAAGCAACGGCUAACUCCGUGCCAGCAGCCGCGGUAAUUC
rnacentral:rRNA from 1 species